rnacentral:rRNA from 1 species
UACGUAGGGGGCGAGCGUUGUCCGGAUUUAUUGGGCGUAAAGAGCGUGUAGGCGGCCAGGUAGGUCCGUUGUGAAAACUCGAGGCUCAACCUCGAGACGUCGAUGGAAACUAUCUGGCUAGAGUCCGGAAGAGGAGAGUGGAAUUCCUGGUGUAGCGGUGAAAUGCGCAGAUAUCAGGAAGAACACCUAUGGCGAAGGCAGCUCUCUGGGACGGUACUGACGCUGAGACGCGAAAGCGUGGGGAGCGAACAGG